rnacentral:tRNA from 1 species
GUAUAUGGCUCAGUUGGUAGAGUGCUUGCCUUGCAUGCACAAGGCCCUGGGUUCAAUCCCCAGCACAAACA